CUGGAGGUAUCAGAAGUGCGAAUGCUGACAUAAGUAACGAUAAAGCGGGUGAAAAGCCCGCUCGCCGGAAGACCAAGGGUUCCUGUCCAACGUUAAUCGGGGCAGGGUGAGUCGACCCCUAAGGCGAGGCCGAAAGGCGUAGUCGAUGGGAAACAGGUUAAUAUUCCUGUACUUGGUGUUACUGCGAAGGGGGGACGGAGAAGGCUAUGUUGGCCGGGCGACGGUUGUCCCGGUUUAAGCGUGUAGGCUGGUUUUCCAGGCAAAUCCGGAAAAUCAAGGCUGAGGCGUGAUGACGAGGCACUACGGUGCUGAAGCAACAAAUGCCCUGCUUCCAGGAAAAGCCUCUAAGCAUCAGGUAACAUCAAAUCGUACCCCAAACCGACACAGGUGGUCAGGUAGAGAAUACCAAGGCGCUUGAGAGAACUCGGGUGAAGGAACUAGGCAAAAUGGUGCCGUAACUUCGGGAGAAGGCACGCUGAUAUGUAGGUGAAGUCCCUCGCGGAUGGAGCUGAAAUCAGUCGAAGAUACCAGCUGGCUGCAACUGUUUAUUAAAAACACAGCACUGUGCAAACACGAAAGUGGACGUAUACGGUGUGACGCCUGCCCGGUGCCGGAAGGUUAAUUGAUGGGGUCAGCGCAAGCGAAGCUCUUGAUCGAAGCCCCGGUAAACGGCGGCCGUAACUAUAACGGUCCUAAGGUAGCGAAAUUCCUUGUCGGGUAAGUUCCGACCUGCACGAAUGGCGUAAUGAUGGCCAGGCUGUCUCCACCCGAGACUCAGUGAAAUUGAACUCGCUGUGAAGAUGCAGUGUACCCGCGGCAAGACGGAAAGACCCCGUGAACCUUUACUAUAGCUUGACACUGAACAUUGAGCCUUGAUGUGUAGGAUAGGUGGGAGGCUUGGAAGUGUGGACGCCAGUCUGCAUGGAGCCGACCUUGAAAUACCACCCUUUAAUGUUUGAUGUUCUAACGUGGACCCGUGAUCCGGGUUGCGGACAGUGUCUGGUGGGUAGUUUGACUGGGGCGGUCUCCUCCUAAAGAGUAACGGAGGAGCACGAAGGUUGGCUAAUCCUGGUCGGACAUCAGGAGGUUAGUGCAAUGGCAUAAGCCAGCUUGACUGCGAGCGUGACGGCGCGAGCAGGUGCGAAAGCAGGUCAUAGUGAUCCGGUGGUUCUGAAUGGAAGGGCCAUCGCUCAACGGAUAAAAGGUACUCCGGGGAUAACAGGCUGAUACCGCCCAAGAGUUCAUAUCGACGGCGGUGUUUGGCACCUCGAUGUCGGCUCAUCACAUCCUGGGGCUGAAGUAGGUCCCAAGGGUAUGGCUGUUCGCCAUUUAAAGUGGUACGCGAGCUGGGUUUAGAACGUCGUGAGACAGUUCGGUCCCUAUCUGCCGUGGGCGCUGGAGAACUGAGGGGGGCUGCUCCUAGUACGAGAGGACCGGAGUGGACGCAUCACUGGUGUUCGGGUUGUCAUGCCAAUGGCACUGCCCGGUAGCUAAAUGCGGAAGAGAUAAGUGCUGAAAGCAUCUAAGCACGAAACUUGCCCCGAGAUGAGUUCUCCCUGACUCCUUGAGAGUCCUGAAGGAACGUUGAAGACGACGACGUUGAUAGGCCGGGUGUGUAAGCGCAGCGAUGCGUUGAGCUAACCGGUACUAAUGAACCGUGAGG
rnacentral:rRNA from 1 species